rnacentral:rRNA from 1 species
CCUACGGGAGGCAGCAGUGGGGAAUAUUGGACAAUGGGCGAAAGCCUGAUCCAGCCAUGCCGCGUGUGUGAAGAAGGCCUUCGGGUUGUAAAGCACUUUCAGUGGGGAAGAAAGCCUUGGGGCUAAUACCCUCGAGGAAGGACAUCACCCACAGAAGAAGCACCGGCUAACUCCGUGCCAGCAGCCGCGGUAAUACGGAGGGUGCGAGCGUUAAUCGGAAUUACUGGGCGUAAAGCGCGCGUAGGCGGUCUGAUAAGCCGGUUGUGAAAGCCCCGGGCUCAACCUGGGAACGGCAUCCGGAACUGUCAGGCUAGAGUGCAGGAGAGGAAGGUAGAAUUCCCGGUGUAGCGGUGAAAUGCGUAGAGAUCGGGAGGAAUACCAGUGGCGAAGGCGGCCUUCUGGACUGACACUGACGCUGAGGUGCGAGAGCGUGGGUAGCAAACAGGAUUAGAUACCCGAGUAGUC